UACGGAGGGGGCUAGCGUUGUUCGGAAUUACUGGGCGUAAAGCGCACGUAGGCGGCUUUGUAAGUUAGAGGUGAAAGCCCGGGGCUCAACCCCGGAACUGCCUUUAAGACUGCAUCGCUUGAAUCCAGGAGAGGUGAGUGGAAUUCCGAGUGUAGAGGUGAAAUUCGUAGAUAUUCGGAAGAACACCAGUGGCGAAGGCGGCUUCCUGGCCUGUUCUUGACGCUGAGGCGCGAAAGCUAGGGGAGCGAACGGG
rnacentral:rRNA from 1 species